CGCUGCGUGGCGAGCACAAAGCGAGCUAUUCUUUCGCCUUUUACUAAAGAGUACCGUGUGCUCGUCACAAUUAGCAGUAUACGCUAUUUUUUUUUGAGGGUGCUCUCUUAUUUUAAGAGAGC
rfam:Zea mays cultivar B73 chromosome 6, whole genome shotgun sequence.